ACUACGGGUGGCAGCAGUAGGGAAUCUUCCACAAUGGACGAAAGUCUGAUGGAGCAACGCCGCGUGAGUGAAGAAGGGUUUCGGCUCGUAAAGCUCUGGUGGUAGUGAAGAAAGAUAGAGGUAGUAACUGGCCUUUAUUUGACGGUAAUUACUUAGAAAGUCACGGCUAACUACGGGCCAGCAGCCGCGGUAAUACGUAGGUGGCAAGCGUUGUCCGGAUGUAUUGGGCGUAAAGCGAGUGCAGGCGGUUCAAUAAGUCUGAUGUGAAAGCCGUCGGCUCAACCGGAGAAUUGCAUCAGAAACUGUUGAACUUGAGUGCAGAAGAGGAGAGUGGAACUCCAUGUGUAGCGGUGGAAUGCGUAGAUAUAUGGAAGAACACCAGUGGCGAAGGCGGCUCUCUGGUCUGCAACUGACGCUGAGGCUCGAAAGCAUGGGUAGCGAACAGGAUUAGAUACCCCUGUAGUC
rnacentral:rRNA from 1 species